UGCAAGAUAAAAAAAAAAAAAAAAUAGAAACGGAAAACGCCAACAAUAUUAAAAGCAGUGGCCGUUUCUCAGCAAUGACGGCCCUGCUCACGGCCUUGUUGUCUAAUGAUAGUCUUGCUAAUGAUGCGUUCGCACACGCACACGUAUAGCGGUAACGAGAGACUAUUUUACCUACCAGUUCUCUAUGGUUGGGCAUCGUUCAAGCCAGAAACAUUUAACAAUAAGUAAAUAUAUGUAUACACAAUGUGUAUAUUUGACUAUCGAAUAAUUUACACUGGCCAACAUCGGUCUUUCUUCUUCAAAAAAGUUUCUGUCUUAUUUAUUUUGGAGAGAGUUCAAAUCGCAAUCAUUCAACAUUAAAAAUCGUUCGAUUCUUAGGUAAAAAUUAAAAGUGGAAAGUGAAAAUUAAUAGUCUGUAACACACAGAAGUUCUUCUUCUUCUACAUUUGAAUAGUAAAGGGGAAAAAAACAAGUUUUUUAGAUCCUUCCCCUUAAAAAGAAAUAAAUGGAGUGGAUUAUGGUUAUCUAAGACAAAGGAAUCCUUGUAAGUUGAUGUAUGAAUACAUUGAAAUUUAAAAACAUCAUGAAAUAUGUAAGAUACUUAUUUUUUAAAUUGAUGAACGACAAAGGAUAAAGAAAAAAAAAAAUGGAAAAUAAAUAAAGGAUCUCAUCUUAAUCUUCGCGGACCUUUAUAACUAAGAAACAAUACAUCUCUAAAGACCGGAGGAGAAAAACUUGUUGUGACCCCCUUUUACAAUGUUCAAUAAAAUGAUGUUCGGUAUUCAAUAUGCUACGCUCGGUAAUAACACACUCCAUUGUCUCGAGUAACGAGAGAAUCAUCUUGACAAUAUUAAAAUAACAUAACAAAUAAAGUAAUAACAUGAUAUUGAAAUAAAAAUUGGCAGCAACGCUCCCUCUGGAGAAACACUUUGCAACUCUCUCUCUCUUAUAGAUCACGACUUCAACGAUUUCAAAAUCAAUAAAAAUGGACUGUAAUCGGUUUCUUUUUCCCUACAGUUUUCGAUUUUUAAUAGAAAAAAAAAAAAAA